rnacentral:rRNA from 1 species
CAGUAGCCGCGGGAAUACGUAGGGUGCAAGCGUUAAUCGGAAUUACUGGGCGUAAAGCGUGCGCAGGCGGUUAUAUAAGACAGAUGUGAAAUCCCCGGGCUCAACCUGGGAACUGCAUUUGUGACUGUAUAGCUAGAGUACGGCAGAGGGGGAUGGAAUUCCGGGUGUAGCAGUGAAAUGCGUAGAUAUGCGGAGGAACACCGAUGGCGAAGGCAAUCCCCUGGGCCUGUACUGACGCUCAUGCACGAAAGCGUGGGGAGCAAACAGGAUUAGAUACCCCGGUAGUCCCUGUCUCUUAUAA